UACGAAGGGGGCUAGCGUUGUUCGGAAUCACUGGGCGUAAAGCGCACGUAGGCGGCUUGUUAAGUCAGGGGUGAAAGCCUGGAGCUCAACUCCAGAACUGCCUUUGAUACUGGCAAGCUUGAGUGUGGAAGAGGUUGGUGGAACUCCGAGUGUAGAGGUGAAAUUCGUAGAUAUUCGGAAGAACACCAGUGGCGAAGGCGGCCAACUGGUCCAUUACUGACGCUGAGGUGCGAAAGCGUGGGGAGCAAACAGG
rnacentral:rRNA from 1 species